rnacentral:rRNA from 1 species
ACGGGAGGCAGCAGUGAGGAAUAUUGGUCAAUGGGCGUAAGCCUGAACCAGCCAUGCCGCGUGCAGGAUGACGGCCUUAUGGGUUGUAAACUGCUUUUGUUCGGGACGAGGAUGAGCACGUGUGCUCAAAUGACGGUACCGGAAGAAUAAGCACCGGCUAACUCCGUGCCAGCAGCCGCGGUAAUACGGGGGGUGCAAGCGUUAUCCGGAUUUAUUGGGUUUAAAGGGUGCGCAGACGGUCUGGUAAGUCAGCGGUGAAAUUGGCCCGCUCAACGGGACAAUGGCGAUUGAUACUGUCGGACUAGAAUGCGGUCGGGGUCGGAGGAAGGCGAGAAGUAGCGGUGAAAUGCUUAGAUAUGUCGCAGAACACCGAUAGCGAAGGCAUCCGAUGAGGCCGCAUUGACGUUCAGGCACGAAAGCGUGGGGAUCGAACAGGAUUAGAUACCCUGGUA